ensembl:lncRNA
CAGCAGAUUCCAUUUAAUGUCAUGUGCAUAUAUCCAUACAUUUACUUAUGUCAAUGGUUUUGAUGUGCAUGACGCCAGGCCUUGAAAAAUCUACUAGUUCAUUUACUUCUGGGAGCGUGAAUUCUCUCUUGAGGUGGGUUUGCUUUUUUUUUUUUAAACCUACUUUCACCCAUAUAGUUGCCAAGAUAAUACCAUCAACUGAAGGUAAAGCAGGCAGAGCUGAUCCCUAGAAUUUGCAGACAGCUCUGCAAAUACUGUUGCAAAGGGUUCUGCCAAGAAGCAUGGGCCAUGAAGAAAUCCCCUCCCUCAAAGGGAGAAAGAAAACUGGUAAGAAAUGGGUUAGUCUUGUUUAGCAUCCCAAGCAACAGCGAGACAAGGCGGCGGAAGUAACACACCAUAAAUUCUCCAAGGAAGUUUUUGGCCAAGGCUGAGGAACAGGGCAAAGAAGUAGAGAUAAACCCCUCCCCCCUCCAAAAAAAAAGAACUGACACUUUUCCUUUCCGUCAUCUAAGUGACAGGACUGGUAGAUCCUGCAGUCAUGGAUGUUUACCCUGCGAUGCGCUCCGUCCCAGCAGUUUCACAGUAGAUUUUUCAAGCCCUGGUGAUGGCUCCCAGGAAGGCUUCUCCCGUCUGCUCCUGGCUCCCACACGAUCAGAAUCUAUUGCAUAGCAUUUAUUUCAGAUAAGGCACUGUUUUGCCAAAUGCGAACAGCAAUUCAAAACCAAUGCAGUUUCCAUACAGUCCAAAUUUGAUGGCCUACAGUGCAAUAACACAUAAAAUUAAAGGCAAGGUUUGGAAGAAUAAACCCAGCUUUAAAUUUAAACUUAAUAUUAAAAAGAUAAAGGAAACUACAUUUUUCAAAAGCCUCUUUAUUUUCCUUCACCAUUGUUGUUUUACAAUACAAAUAUCACCUUGUGAAUACACAAAAACCCUACAGAAGAUAACUCUGCUUCACGUAAAAUACAGAAUGGAUAUAUAUAUAUUUAUAUAUAUAUAUUUUCUCUUCUUCAUUCUUUAAAAAAACUAUUUUGCUCUGCACAUUGGCAAUUUUAGGAUAGAAUUCUUCCCCAAACAUACAUUAUGUAUGGUAGGAGUGAAACUUAUAAUUACAUGCAGUUUCUGCACAAAUAUUUUAAAGAAAUAGAAUAUCUUUGUUGUUUUUCAACAACAUUUCAAUACGGGAUGGAGAAACCAUUUGUAGUUCACUCAGUGAUCAUUUGUAAAGUUCUUAAAAAACAGGAAUUCAUGGCUGUUUUUCUUUUUAAAAUACAGCUACCAGGUAGACAAUAAAGUGAUAACUUUUAGUGUGACCUGUCCACAAUGUGUGAGCAAGAUCGGACCCUUUUUAUUUGGUUUUUUCCCCCUACACAUGGCAAUUUCAACAUUAUAAGCAAAUUUCCAGUUUAAUUUAGCUAUAAAUGCAAAAAUUAGUAAUUAUACAGUAUAUAUAAUUCUGCUUUCAUGGAAUACUUUAUUUUAAAUAAAAACAUUUAAGACUGCCUACUGACCAUACAAUCAAGACAAGAAAGGCACUAGAAACAUAGACAAAUCUCUCUCUCCCAAGAAGCACUUUCUUUAAAUUUUAACUCUCUAUUCUCUGACAUGUAAAAAUCUUUUUAAAUUUAAUUUUCAUACACAUUUUGAAAAAUAAAGUUAGGAAAUACUUAGAAAACCACUUUACAACUUUUUUUUCUUUUUUUUUUCUUUUUUCUUUUUUUGCACUUUUUGACACAGUCACUGCAGAUUCUACAAAAUCAAGAUUACCAAACCUUCCUGUGUCUAUCACCUUAUUCAUAGCAUGGUGCAACAGGUAAAAAGAUUUCUUGAUUUUACCCAAGGCAGGUAUUUAGAAACCUUCACAUAGUCAUUUGCUAGAAAAUGGCUUACAGCCCAAUCUUUGGGGCAAGAGAUAUGAAAAGUAUGUUUUCCCAAGAAAAUAAUAUGUUUUAUUCCCAGACGUGACUGGAAAGACCAGAACUUAUGAUAUAAAAGCUUUCAUUUAUGUCGUCGCAUCAUAUACAAAGGAACAU